rnacentral:lncRNA from 10 species
UGUACACAAGAAGAAAUGAAAAGAAGUCUGCUAGGAAUCCUUGCAGACUAAAAGGAGAUACAUGAGAGAGACUUUCUUUCUGUCUCUGGACAUUGUCAUCUGUCUGGAGUACCUAGAACUGCAGCAGUCUUCAUAGAAUCAUGAGAGUAAGCUUUUGUGUUUUAGAUAAAGUGGCAGAUCUGAUUUGUUGAUAGCAAUUCCCUGGAGUGUUGCAUUGAGAAGAUUCUGAGGCCUUGGUCUACUAUCUGUGACUGCCAUGGAAUCCUGAGUGGAGCGAAAUUAAGUUCCCAGACUUGUUAUACCCUCCUGACUUGUUCUCCCCUUCCUUGGGAAGGGCAUCUGUUCCAGGCAGGUAACACCUGUCAUCCUGGCUGGUCUAGCUGUGUUCUCGUCACCCAUGCCGGCACAGUACCUUACACGUAAGAAGAGCUCAGAAAUUCUUUGCUGAAUUCAUUCAUUUUGAGGCAUAAAAUCCAAUCUUCCUGAAGAUAAGUCCUUUCCACUGAACUGGUGGGGUGUGGGGAAAGGGGUUGCUGGUACUUCAUCUGGGGACCCCGAAGGGACCAGGAUAUGAGUUGGCUAGAAAAGGGGCAGGUAAGUAUGGGGCUUUCCCACCCACAGUAGUCCUGCUUCAUGUUCUUCUUUCACAAUUAUUUGACAGGGCACCCCAUGAAAUCAAGUGGCUAAGUCAGAUUUAGGAAGUGGUUUUGAAAUUGAUGGGUGCAGGGAAGUACCCUUGAGUCAAAAUCAGAAGAAGUGGGGGAAUGCCGAAGAAACACUCAGAGUUAAUGAGAUGAAUCCCCCUACAUGAGCAUUGUGGGAUGUCUGCCCAACCCACACAGCCAAGAUAUGCUCCUUCAGGUGUGUCCUGCCCACCGACCACAGCUGACUGAACCACAGAAUUUCCUUUUACCCCGGGCUGCUCCCCUUUUUGUGUUCAGCCCAGCAGUCUGCCUUCAUUCCCUCAAGGAAGAGCUGACAUAAAAGAAAGCAAAGGGGUGGCAAAAAAAAGAAGUUAAUGAUUAACCUUGAGCUUCAAGAGCUUAAGCAUAGGCAAAUAGGAAGGCUUCGUGCACAUACAACAUAUUUGAGAGAAUAUGAGUGGAGUAAAGAUCUCUGCCAAAUGUAAACAUGAGCAUCGCCGCUCUGUGUAAGACUCUUCAGUGACUCCCCCUUGCCUUCCAGAUAAAGUCCAUGUUUCUUAACAUGGUUCCAAGGCCUUGCUUGAUCCAGUGACUAUGCAUCCAUUACAGGCUGAAUUGUGUCCCAUAAAAUUCAUACAUUGAAGCCCCAGCCUCCAGUAAUUCAGAACAUGACUGUAUUUGUAGAUAGAGUCUUUAACGAGGUAAUUAAGUUAAAAUGAGGUCAUGUGUGGGGGCCCUUAAUUCAAUAUGCCUGACGUCUUUAUACAAAAAGGAGAUAAGGACACAGACACGAACAGAGGGAAGCCCAUGUGAAGGCAAAGAGGAAAAUGGCCAUUACCACCCAAGGAGAGAGGCCUCAGGAGAAACCAACCCAGCUAACACCUGGAUCUCAAACUUCCUGCCUCCAGAAUGAUGAGAACAUACAUUUCUGUUGUUUUAACCACCCAGUCGGUGAUACUUUGCUCUGGCAGCCCUAGCAUCUCUCUCCUUCACCUCCCUAAACCGCCCUCCCCAGGUUAUGACACUCUAGCUGUGUGCUCAAUGCCCUCUCCACUCCAGGCUGGCCCCACUCUCACCUGGGCAUCUACAUUGCUCCCACCACUCUUCAUCCAGCUAACUCCUUCCUCCAUGAAGCCAUCCCUGACCUUUAAGUAUCUCCUAAGAUACCCGCUUCCUUCCCCUCUCAGAGCCCCAUGUUACGACUACCCAUUUACUCUGUGUCAAUACCACACUGUGUGCUACAUUAGAACAGGGGCCAUAUGUAUCUUGCUCACAUCUGUGCCUAGAACAGUGUCUGGUACCUACAAGUGCUCAAUAAAUUCUUUUGGAUGACUGGCAAUUAAUGAAAAUAAAUCAAAUAAUUCAAAG